UGGGGCUGUAAGGUAGCCAGGCCAUCCUCCCAGCUCGGGGAGCUGGUAACCGGAGUUCAAAUCUCCGCGGCCCCAUCC
rnacentral:tRNA from 1 species